UACGUAGGGGACGAGCGUUGUCCGGAAUUACUGGGCGUAAAGGGCGCGCAGGCUGUUAGAUCAAGUCAGCUGUAGAAAGUGUCUCGGGGCUUAACCCGGGCAUGGCGGUUGAAACUGAUGUACUGGAGGUGCUGUAGAGGCAAGUGGAACUCCCAGUGUAGCGGUGAAAUGCGUAGAUAUUGGGAAGAACACCGGUGGCGAAGGCGACUUGGCUGGGCAGCAACUGACGCUGAGGCGCGAAAGCCAGGGGAGCAAACGGGGAUUAGA
rnacentral:rRNA from 1 species